rnacentral:rRNA from 1 species
GACAGAGGAUGCAAGCGUUAUCCGGAAUGAUUGGGCGUAAAGCGUCUGUAGGUGGCUUUUCAAGUCCGCCGUCAAAUCCCAGGGCUCAACCCUGGACAGGCGGUGGAAACUACCAAGCUGGAGUACGGUAGGGGCAGAGGGCUCGUAGAGCCGGUGGAGCGGUGAAAUGCGUAGAGAUCGGAAAGAACACCAAUGGCGAAAACACUCUGCUGGGCCGACACUGACACUGAGAGACGAAAGCUAGGGGAGCAAAUGGG